AUAAAGUCCAAUUUAUCUAUUGUUUUCUUUCAUUGCUGUGCCUUUGGUAUCAUAUCCAAGAAAUCAUUGCCAAAUCUAAUGUCACAAAGAGUGCUCACUUUUGACUUGGACCGUUUUUUACCCCUCAAGUCAAGUGGGCUUCAGGAAGGAUUUCUUUGUAAUAAACCAAUUUUUUUAAAGAUUAACAGAAUUCUUUGCACUGUUGCAGUGAAUAGCAUUGUGGUUGCUUUGCGAGCCCAUUCUCAUCGUGGCCUUACUUCUUUCCAUGAGGAGGAGGAGAGCAGCACACUGCGAUGGAAAGAAAUGUGCUGGAAGGGGCAGGCUCUGGGGUCCAUCCCAGCUGUCAACCUCCUUGACCAUUUAUCUGUGCUGGGCAGCAUCCUGGUACACACACUGUGCAGAGGCCAGACCCUCGGACAGGUAACCCACCUCUCGCCUGGAGCAGAAAUGAGUACUAGGAUGCUGGACCACAGGGAGACUUACCAGGGUGAUGACAUCCCAGGCGAUCGUGUGGCCUCCAGGAGCCCAGAGCAGGAAGUUGAGGAGAAGGUGCCUGAUCAGCUGUUGUGCAGGAGCUCUGAGGUCUGUGUCUGUGCCCUGUCCUGCUACCGUCUGCAGGUCCUGGGCUGAGAGGCUGCUGCUUCUGGACAUUGCCAGGAGGUGGCCCAGCACGGCCUUCACCUGGACCUGGGCAAUAGUAUUUCACAGGGGAGAGGUUAGGAAGAGGCAGGACAGACAUACUUCUAGGAUUUAUUUAUUUGCUUUGAAACAACCCCCAGAAACGGGUAAGCACUGGCCCCUGAGAGAGGGAGCUAGGCAGCGGCCGAAUUUACACUCGAUUUCACACAAACCCAAAUGGGCGGAAUGGAAAUUUCUUGACUUUCUUUCGUCUUGCUCACCAAGCAGUCAGGGCACCAUGCCAGGAACUGACCUUUUUUUGUAUAAAAGGAAACAGAGAAAAGUUCUCAACAGAAUGUAGUCAGAUUUUUAUAUUGUGGGAAAAAGAACAAAAGGCUCCUUGAAGACUCGCCUAUCACAGCCACAAAUCAAUUAAAGCCCCACGCAGUCAGACCUCCGCCGAGCCAGUGUUCCCAUACGAAUGUAGGCUUGCCUUUGCUUCUUGCUAUAUUGGGGGUCAGGGCGGGGGGUCGGGGGGAACACACACACAUGCACGCACGUGUACACAAGCACGGUCAUACACACAUGCAUGCACACACAAGAACACAUUUGUUUUAGAUGCCGGAACAAUCUGUUCAUACGUGUUUAAUGCUCAAGCAGAGGCCACAAGUCUGUGGAACCCACAUAAUAAUGGUAAUUAUAAGUCUGCAGGUUGCUUUUGCAUAAAAAAUACUCAUUCCAUGCUGAGAUGUUUCUGCUUGCUACAAGAAUGGUACACCCAGUCGUGACUUGGAAAACAAAGCAAAGCAAAAACCGAAAGCCCAUAGCUCCAAAUGCCACAUGGAACUCGUGAACAGCUAUGUUCCAUCACUUCUGAAAGAAUACUUAGGCCUAUUCUGAGAAUUCCCAUGACCGAUUUUAUGGAUUUUGUGUGAGGCGUUUUUUUUCCCUGGAAGUCAAGGCCUCAUUCAAUGAAGUCUGUCAUAAACUCCAGUACACUGGGUGUGUUGUGUGAGCUCCUCUGACCACAAUACAAGACCGUGAGAAACUGCACCAUCGGGCUCUUCCACGGGGAGCGGCAGCGCUCCAGCAGGGCAGGCCUCACUCUCCCCACCUCGCCCCUCAGCCGGCCCAGCCUGCCGGGUCUGAUGGUGUCUACGGGAGCCCAAGGCCAUUCUGCCAUCUAACUGGGUCUGCAAAAAUGUCAGGGUUUAGGAGGCUAUGCCUUUAUAUCUGUUUUUUCUCUUGACCCACAACCGACUUUCUGCCCUUGUCCAAUAAUCCCUAAGAUGGGGUCUAUCUUCCUUUAUGUCUGGCCCAGACUGUCUUUCCCUUCAGAGGCCGUCCAUGCUCAUGGGCUUCCACUUGAACACCGAUAACUAACUUUAAACAUGUCCUAAGUUUUUCAGGAGAAAGAUAAAAGCUUUCUUUUCUUUUUAAAGUAUUUUUUAUCCUGCAUUAUAAAGACAUAUAUGCUUACUAUGGAAAAUUUGAAAAGAGAAAAAGAAGAACCAUUAAAAUGAUCUAUAACUCUACCAUCCAAAAA